UACCAGCGACCCCGAGUGGUCGGGACGUUUAUUGGGCCUAAGGCAAUCCGUAGCCGGUUCUACCAAAGUCUUCCGUUAAAUCCAAACUCGGCUUAAACCAGGGUGGGCUGCGGAAGAUACUAUAGAGCUAGGAGGCGGGGAGAGGCAAGCGGUGACUCCGAUGGGUAGGGGUAAAAUCCGUUGAUCCAUUGAAGACCACCAGUUGGGCGGAAGGCGGCCGUUGGCCAG
rnacentral:rRNA from 1 species